rnacentral:rRNA from 1 species
UACGGGGGGGGCAAGCGUUGUUCGGAAUUACUGGGCGUAAAGGGCUCGUAGGCGGCCAACUAAGUCAGACGUGAAAUCCCUCGGCUUAACCGGGGAACUGCGUCUGAUACUGGAUGGCUUGAGUGUGGGAGAGGGAUGCGGAAUUCCAGGUGUAGCGGUGAAAUGCGUAGAUAUCUGGAGGAACACCGGUGGCGAAGGCGGCAUCCUGGACCAUAACUGACGCUGAGGAGCGAAAGCAUGGGGAGCGAACAGG